rnacentral:rRNA from 1 species
GUCCACGCCGUAAACGGUGGGUACUAGGCGUCGGGGGGAGCGACCCCUUCGGUGCCGUCCUUAACACAGUAAGUACCCCGCCUGGGGAGUACGGCCGCAAGGCUGAAACUCAAAGGAAUUGACGGGGGCCCGCACAAGCGGUGGAGCAUGUGGUUUAAUUCGAAGCAACGCGAAGAACCUUACCUGGGCUUGACAUGCACGAGAAACCAGGUGGAAACAUCGGGCCCUCUUCGGAGUUCGUGCACAGGUGCUGCAUGGCUGUCGU